rnacentral:rRNA from 1 species
AGUGAUUCCGCGCCGACAAUGUAGCGGGGCUCAAGCGUACCGCCGAAGUCGUGUCAUUCACACAUUGAGGGCCAACGCCUGUGUGGGAUGGGUAGGGGAGCGUCGUGUGCCGGGUGAAGCAGCCGCGGAAGCGAGUUGUGGACGGUUCACGAGUGAGAAUGCAGGCAUGAGUAGCGAUACACACGUGAGAAACGUGUGCGCCGAUUGACUAAGGGUUCCUGGGUCAAGCUGAUCUGCCCAGGGUAAGUCGGGACCUAAGGCGAGGCCGACAGGCGUAGUCGAUGGACAACCGGUUGAUAUUCCGGUACCCGCUUUGAAACGCCCAGUACUGAAUCAGGCGAUGCUAAGUCCGUGAAGCCGGCCCGAUCUCUUCGGAGUUGAGGGUAGUGGUGGAGCCGAUGAACCAGACUUGUAGUAGGUAAGCGAUGGGGUGACGCAGGAAGGUAGUCCAGCCCGGGCGGUGGUUGUCCCGGGGUAAGGGUGUAGGACGCACGGUAGGUAAAUCCGUCGUGCAUGAAGUCUGAGACCUGAUGCCGAGCCGAUUGUGGUGAAGUGGAUGAUCCUAUGCUGUCGAGAAAAGCCUCUAGCGAGUUUCAUGGCGGCCCGUACCCUAAACCGACUCAGGUGGUCAGGUAGAGAAUACCGAGGCGUUCGGGUGAACUAUGGUUAAGGAACUCGGCAAAAUGCCCCCGUAACUUCGGGAGAAGGGGGGCCAUCACUGGUGAUCCGAUUUACUCGGUGAGCUGGGGGUGGCCGCAGAGACCAGCGAGAAGCGACUGUUUACUAAAAACACAGGUCCGUGCGAAGCCGUAAGGCGAUGUAUACGGACUGACGCCUGCCCGGUGCUGGAACGUUAAGGGGACCGGUUAGUGCACUUUCGGGUGUGCGAAGCUGAGAACUUAAGCGCCAGUAAACGGCGGUGGUAACUAUAACCAUCCUAAGGUAGCGAAAUUCCUUGUCGGGUAAGUUCCGACCUGCACGAAUGGCGUAACGACUUCUCGACUGUCUCAACCAUAGGCCCGGUGAAAUUGCACUACGAGUAAAGAUGCUCGUUUCGCGCAGCAGGACGGAAAGACCCCGGGACCUUUACUAUAGUUUGAUAUUGGUGUUCGGUUCGGCUUGUGUAGGAUAGGUGGGAGACUGUGAAGCGGCCACGCCAGUGGUUGUGGAGUCGUCGUUGAAAUACCACUCUGGUCGUGCUGGAUGUCUAACCUGGGUCCGUGAUCCGGAUCAGGGACAGUGUCUGAUGGGUAGUUUAACUGGGGCGGUUGCCUCCUAAAGAGUAACGGAGGCGCCCAAAGGUUCCCUCAGCCUGGUUGGCAAUCAGGUGUUGAGUGUAAGUGCACAAGGGAGCUUGACUGUGAGACCGACGGGUCGAGCAGGGACGAAAGUCGGGACUAGUGAUCCGGCAGUGGCUUGUGGAAGCGCUGUCGCUCAACGGAUAAAAGGUACCCCGGGGAUAACAGGCUGAUCUUCCCCAAGAGUCCAUAUCGACGGGAUGGUUUGGCACCUCGAUGUCGGCUCGUCGCAUCCUGGGGCUGGAGUCGGUCCCAAGGGUUGGGCUGUUCGCCCAUUAAAGCGGUACGCGAGCUGGGUUUAGAACGUCGUGAGACAGUUCGGUCCCUAUCCGCUGUGCGCGUAGGAAUAUUGAGAAGGGCUGUCCCUAGUACGAGAGGACCGGGACGGACGAACCUCUGGUGUGCCAGUUGUCCUGCCAAGGGCAUGGCUGGUUGGCUACGUUCGGAAAGGAUAACCGCUGAAAGCAUCUAAGCGGGAAGCCUGCUUCGAGAUGAGUAUUCCCACCCUCUUGAGGGGUUAAGGCUCCCAGUAGACGACUGGGUUGAUAGGCCAGAUGUGGAAGCCCGGUAACGGGUGGAGCUGACUGGUACUAAUAGGCCGAGGGCUUGUCCUC